ACACGACUCUGGAGAGUCCCAUUGAUUUGGGCGCCGAAGGGGCAACGAUGGUUUCCCGUAACCAUCUAAUCUCUCAGGCAAAAGGACAGGGCUGG
rnacentral:ncRNA from 1 species